UACGUAGGGGGCAAGCGUUGUCCGGAUUUAUUGGGCGUAAAGAGCGUGUAGGCGGCCUGACAGGUCUGCUGUGAAAACUCCGGAGGCUCAACCUCGAGAUGUCGGCGGAAACCGUCUGGCUAGAGUCCGGAAGAGGAGAGUGGAAUUCCUGGUGUAGCGGUGAAAUGCGCAGAUAAUCAGGAAGAACACCUAUGGCGAAGGCAGCUCUCUGGGACGGUACUGACGCUGAGACGCGAAAGCGUGGGGAGCGAACAGG
rnacentral:rRNA from 1 species